GGGGGAGAAUUAAUAUAAAAAUGGAAAGUGGUUUGUUUAUUGGUAUGAGUGUUAGUGAGAGUAAGGAUGGCGUGAGUGUGAGUAGAAAGAAGAGAAUUGAAGAAGGAGGAGGAAGAAAGGAAGAGAAGAAUCAUCCAUGGUGUGGUGGCACAGUGUGUGGAGUAGAGAUUAAAUAUUCUUUGUUCUAAUCUUUUUCUGUGUCUUUUGUUAGUGUCAUUGAAAUGUUGAAUGUGGUUGUGGAAGAGUAAUAAGAGUAGUAAUAAAAGAAAGAAAAGAGAAGAGAUUAUUGAAAGACAGAAACUGGAAAGGGCAGUGGCACGGAGUGGUGCAGAGAGAAAGAGAGCUUUUUCCUUUCCAGCUUUGCAAUUGCAAUUGCCUUUUCCAACACUGAUCA
rnacentral:lncRNA from 1 species